AUAGCAUAUAUUAAAGUUGUUGCAGUUAAAAAGCUCGUAGUUGGACCUCUGGGGGAUUGCUAAUGUCCGCUUCGGCGUGCGCAGCGGCGGUCUCCCAUCCUUCUGUUAACACUUCUUGGCCUUCAUUGGCUGGUUGUGGGCUCAGAUAUUUUACCUUGAGAAAAUUAGAGUGUUUCAGGCAGGCUUGCGCCCGAAUACAUUAGCAUGGAAUAAUAGAAUAAGACUUCGGUCUCCUUUGUUGGUUUGAGGGAUUGGAGUAAUGAUUAAUAGGGACAGUUGGGGGCAUUAGUAUUUAAUUGUCAGAGGUGAAAUUCUCGGAUUUGUUAAAGACUAACUUAUG
rnacentral:rRNA from 1 species